rnacentral:tRNA from 3 species
GCCAGAGUGAUGAAAUUGGUAAACAUGCGCGACUCAAAAUCGCGUGCCGCAAGGUUUGUGGGUUCAAGUCCCACCUCUGGCA